rnacentral:rRNA from 1 species
UGCGUAGGCGGUUCGGUAAGUCUUAUGUGAAAUCUUCAGGCUCAACUUGAAGUCUGCAUGAGAAACUGCCGGGCUUGAGUGUGGGAGAGGUGAGUGGAAUUUCCGGUGUAGCGGUGAAAUGCGUAGAUAUCGGAAGGAACACCUGUGGCGAAAGCGGCUCACUGGACCAUAACUGACGCUGAUGCACGAAAGCUAGGGGAGCAAACAGGAUUAGAUACCCUGGUAGUCCUAGCCCUAAACGAUGAUCGCUUGGUGUGACGGGUACCCAAUCCCGCCGUGCCGAAGCUAACGCGUUAAGCGAUCCGCCUGGGGAUACGGUCGCAAGGCUAGAA